UGAGCCCACUGACCUCUCGAGCGACAUGGCUCUUGCUGUCGAGGGUGCUGUCUGUGGGGAGGCAUCGAUGCUGUUUGAUUUGCAUAAGCUUGGGUAUGGAUCCAUAUGGAUGGGCACGGCCUUUUAGGGAACAAAUGCUGUUUGAUCAAAUGGCUUAGUGAAAGAAGCAGCCCCUCUGCACUAAAGCACACCUGCUGUAUUGCUGUCAUAAAGUAGCCUCAGAAACUGUAUGACCUGAGCUGGCAAAGAUGGAACUUCCCUUCGGUGUAGCGAAGAGUUCAAGCUAAGAGCUAUGGAGCAAGUCAGCUGGGAACAAUGAGAGACUGAGUUGAAUCAUUUUCAAGAUCUACGGGCUAGUGUUUAGCUAGUGAAAAACAGUGGGAUGCAUGGGAUGUUUUGUUUCCCCUGUUCAUUUUAGAGGAGCUAUUGCUAGAAAAAAGUCUAUUUCCCAUGAGCUCUGUGAUAAGCUGCCUACACUGUAUCCAGUCACUGCUUAUGUGUUUGCAAGGUCAGGCACAAUCUUGCUGAUGUAGCAGGCAUGCUCUCUGCACUCUUUUUCUGAUUUUAUAUAUUGAUAUGGCACUCCUUCAACCCGCAGUGGUCUAGAUCAUUACAAAUUAAAUAAGAGAUUAAAUGAAAGCUCAAUGUUCCAAUUUUAUCUGCUCUCCAAGUGUGGCAUAUUGUCUUGGGCAGACUAUGAGCAAUUUCUAUGCCAGAUUAAAUACACUAAAUACAGAGAAUAUAUGAAAAAUAAGCAAAAAUAAGCUUAUCAUCACAAGCAAAAUGUGAAAGUUAAGCAUAAAGGGUAUCCGUACACUUACAUGUAGAGCAAUCAGGUCUUUGCAUUAGCAGACCCGUGAAAAUUCAUGUUUUUAUUCACUCUUUUGUAGAUGCUUAAUGGCCCUAGGGGAGCAAAGCUUUAGCUGAUGAACGCCUUGUAGCUCUGAAGUUGUUCAAAUUUCUUCCCUGUUCUGUUGUAUAUGAACCACUACACGACUGUGCUGAUGUGAGGUCUCCUGAGUAAUACGAAUUCCUAUGGAGAAAAAUGAUUUAAGAGAAGCUGCUGAAGCCAGUAUCACUUGGUUGUAUCAGACCCAACCAUAGGUCCUACUUAACAUAUUCUUGCAGGAGAGAGCUGGGCUGCUUUGGAAGACAUAUCUCUUGCUUGGGAACGAAUCCCAGGGAGUCUUACACGUUCAGACAUAUGAAGAUUUUGGCAUGCACUUGUAGAGUUACAAAGAUGAAUUUAAAGGUUGUUGGUUUAAGGGAUAGAUAAGAAACAUUUCCUCAUGUUUUUGUCUCGCUUAGCAGGAUUUGGUGGUGUGGGGAAGCAGAAUCACAGGGACAGAUGAUAUGGGCAGCAAGUUCUUACAUUCAAGGUGCAGUGGGUACAAAACCUGUUCCUCUAGCUAGAGACCUAUCCCACACUGAGAGUGUAGCUUUCACCCUUCCUCCUUUAGAUUUAGUGUGUGUCUGGGCUUUUUUGUUAGCUGCAAGUACUGCAUUAGCCUUGGUCGGAGGCUUUCCUGUCAUGUCCAGUUUAGUGCAGGUUGGCACAUUCCUACCAGCCAAAGCACUGUCUUGUCUGGUGAAAAGAUAAGGUUCAAAAUGUCACAGUUCAGGUAACACAUGACUGUCACAGUUUGGUCAGAAGAGAUCUGGAACCUUAAUAAGCUAGAGAACAGUGGAGUUAAAAGAUGAAAAGCUCCUUAGGGAAGACGAUGAGUGGAGUUAAUAUAACGAGGAGGGACUUGGGAAAAGGGUUACGAUGGGAGGGCUGUGCAGUCUCAGCAGUGGGCAAAUGGACUGAUGAUGAUUUUCUAAUCUAGGGAAAUAGGUAAGAUAUCAUGAUCUGUGGUAUAUGAGGCAGUGCUGGAUAGUUCCCUGAUGAAUUAAUACUGUUUCUGCUUGAUUAGACCAUAUUCCUUGCAUGUUGUCCUUCUUUCCUCAUGUCUGGUUAACAAUAUAACCCCAGCUACCUUUUCCUUAAACUAGUGCUCAAGGAAGAGUAAAAGUGAUGUGCGAGCGUGGCAUUAAAAUUGCCAUAUUUGUUGUGGUUUAUCUCAGCUGCAGAAAUAGCCAGAGAAUUAAUUUUGGCGCUCUUUGAUGUUUGGAAUUCAGAAACUCAAUCAGACAUUUCAGACACAAAAGUAUAACAGUCUAGACAUAUCCCAAAAUGUGAUAGAAAUUAGUUCUUCAUAUUUAACAAGAACAGAGUUUUGCCUUUAUUGUUAUAUAUAUCUAGGCUUGAGUGUAUAUGAAAGCAUGAGUAUAGGAAUAUCUGGACUGUAUUUCUCCUAAACUUAAAUAUUAUAAGCAAUUAUUUAGUACUGUAAGUAGACAAGGUAGCAGAGCUAAUCAAUAUGUAGACUUUCAGCUCUUAAGACGUGCAGUGAAGUAUGGUUUAGUUCACCAGUAGAAUGUGUUGGAUAAAGUAGGAAUUUAUAUGCAUCCAAUUACUGAGCUAAGAGACCAUGUUUUUAUAAUGCUUGCUUGAAUUAUGUAUGACAAGAGCUGAUAAACCCUCUGGUCCUACACUGUGCAAGCUGUGUAACUGUUAGGAGUGUAUUAAAAGUUCAUUAAACUUGCCCAUUAGCUUUUUAAAAUUAAGAAGAAAAUGGCCAUUUAAAUUUAUUGUAAUCAGAUUUUCUGCUGCUUGGUGGACCAUACAUUUCCACCAUUUCUUGUAAGUAAAAGCAGUCUUCCAGCUAAGAAAAGGUGACAAGAGUGAUAAAAAGAUGAUACACAUUUUUCACCGAGAACACUUAAUGUGCAUAAAUCUGGAGAGGAUGUUUUACUAUGAUGAAAAAAAAAUCUGAAAUCUAGUCAAAAAUUAAAGCAGAGAAGCACUUAAAAGGGGUAUAAAAAUGUUUCCUAUUUCAAAACAGCAAAAGUGGGUGCAAACAAAGAAAAUUAAAUGUCUUUGUUCAAUAACUUCAUUUUUGCCCCUUAGUUUCUUUAGAAUUGUAAAAUUUCAUUGAAAACCUUACACGUGAACUCAGAAUCAAAAUAUCAUUGUUUGGAUGAACAUAAAAAUGCAUUCUUGUCAGUUUGCCAGGAACUCUCCAAAAGUACAAGCAGAUUAGGAAUCCUGCCCAGUGUCUAAUUGCUAUACUUUCAAAAUGAUGGUGGAGGCAUGGAGAAAGUGAGGAACAAAAGAGGUUCUUUAUUAUUAUGUGAAAAGGAUAAUCUAAAAAUAAGACAGGUCUGGUUCUGUAUUUAUUGACUGCUCAUCUUAACAGCUCCGUAACCACAAUGGAAAUAUCUUUCAUUUAAGGUUCUAUAGAGAGAAUACUAUCUGAAGAGGGUUUAUUGCUGACUAUAGUUUAUGAAAAGAUGGGGUUUUAAUGAAAUAUGCAUAAAAGUCAUUUUAGAUAUGUGACCUACAUAAUCAUACUUGUCCUGAGAGGCUAGGUUUGAAAAUGCUUCUAUUCAGAGUAGUUAACCCCCCCCCUUGUAUUAUUUCUCAUUAAUUCAAUAUUCCUCUAAAAAGUAAAGCUCCCACAACAGCUUUAGUAAUCAGCCUUUCAGAUUUAUGAGCUAUUUUUUGCUAAUAUUGUUCUAUAAGACAAGGCUUCUUGAUCAAUUGCCAAGGAACUGUUUCAGUCUUUUUCCAGCACCCUGGUAUUCCAGCACAUUAACUUAUUUUUAAUUGAGUAACUUAAUUAUUCAUAAAAUUCCCUUUAUCAUAUUUCCACAAACAUUAACAGUAUUUUAUACAAGCAUUAUUUAAAUAUAAUCAAGUUGCUCCCUUCAUCUCCAUCUCUCUUCUUGUGCUGAAAAAAAUGAGUUUGAAGGCAAAAAACAAACAUAUUGGAGAAAUUAAAGAAGCUUAUGGUCAUUAAAACUACUCCUCAAAGUGCUUUACUGUGUCUUCCACAGCAUAUCUACUGCCAUGAAGGUUAUUUGCCUGUAGGAAUAGUGUCCUGGGUUUCAGGAGUACCUUAGGCUGCCCUAGGCUAUUUCCAUGACCAAGGCAAAAGUACAGUGUAUCGAGUGUGUCACUUCUCAUUACAUUUCUCAGUCUAUGCUCUUGCUUUCCUCCUUGCCUCAUUUGCUAAGUUUCUGUCUCUGGCAGGUCCCAGUCACAGCAUCUGCUGGUGGUCUUCAUGCAGUAUCUUGCUUCUCAUUUGGCUUAUGAUAUACCAGACUUCUGGACUACAAUAUGCAUGGCAAGGCAGUUGUCUUUGAGCUUAUAAAAUUGGUGGAUAAGCACUAAGAAAGUUUUUUUUUAAAUUAAUGGUAUUCUGUUCUUGUUUCCUUUAUGCUUGAAUGUUGCUCAUGAUUUCAUUGUGAAUUUGAUUUUAUGUUGAUCAUGUAAUUAGUUUGUACAUGUAAUACAUCUCUUGUAUAAUUUAAAUAUUGACUUAAGAGUGUGCUUUAAUGUACCUGGUUAGAAUGCAGCUAAAAAUAUAUGGACAUAUAGGUAUUUUUUGUAAAGAAAGAGAACUAUUUCAAAUUAUAUUUCUGUUGAUUUAGGUGUGCUGUAACUCUUAUUCCACUAAUAUUGAAAUGAAUUUAACAGUUGUUCACCCUUUCGUGAGUUAGUCCAAGGAAGACUGCAGUGACUUCUGAGAAUUGACUUUUCAUUGCUAUCACACAUUUUUCAGUAAUUUCUUCUGUUGUCUUGGUGACCAGAGUGCUUUUUUUACAGAGUGCAUCUUUACAUUGUCUUUAUUAAUGAAUUCCUCAUUGCUUUCUACUCUUUUGUUAAAUUUUAUUAUCACAUAUGGCUUAUUUGUAUUUCUUUAAAGCGAGAAAAAAUUCCA